rnacentral:ncRNA from 1 species
CAAGAGAAGAAGUUAGAUUCCCUCAUGGGGUGCCAAGGACCCAAUAUUUCCCAAAGUUCAAGGAACUCGGUUGGCGGAAUGCUCUCGAAACCAAUUUACUUGAGUGAGAUAGAAGAGAGUGAAAUUUUGCGUGUAGGGGUGAAAUCUGUAUAUCUACGAACAAACGCCAAUUCGCGUGUAGGUGUGAAAUCUGUAUAUCUACAAAUGAGCGCCAAAAGCAAAGGCAACUCUCUAGGUCCAUACGAACGUUGGGGUGCGAAAGCAUGGGAAGCAAACAUGACUAGAUACCCCUAUUAAUCCAUGCUGUAAAGAUGAGUGUUCGCCCUUGGCUUGGCUUAUGUGGAUCAGACCCAAGCUAAUGCGUGAAACACUAUACGAUGGAGAAUACGGUCGUAAGACCAAAACUCAAAAAAAAAAUUGGGGGGGGGGGGGGGGGGGGGGGGGGGGGGGGGGGUGCAAGUGAUGAAGGGUGCACCAUGUAUCGCAUUAGCCCAGAC